UCAACCAGUUCAUCCCCUUCCUCUCUUAGUUCAUCCCCUUCCUCUCUUGUCACCUCCAUCUUCAACCAACCAGAGGACACCAUGGCGGCGGACGACGUCACGCCGGCGGUAGCAUCUCAGGCAUACCUGGAAGGAGCUCAGGUCAAACAAACCAAGUCACUCAUCACCGAGUUAUGCCGCCUCUCUACACCCUCGGUUGGGUCUCCGGCACCGGCGGAAGCAUCACCGCCAAGGUCCAUGACGAUUCCGUCCCAAAAUCCGACCAACUCAUCAUCAUGUCCCCCUCCGAUUACUCAUAUGGAGAUGAUUAAAGGAAUUCAAGGGCAUGGUUAUUAUGAUGAGCUUGUGGCUCCGAUAAUAGAAAACACUGCUCAUGAAAGGGAGUUGACUUAAGCUCUUGCUGCAACAACUGAAGCGUACCCGUAAACAACUGCGGUACUGGUGCGAAACCAUGGUAUUUACAGGUGUUAGGGUUAAAAUACAGAGAGGAAGGGGAUGAACUGGUUGAAGACUGGGGUUUAAACUUUAAAGGAGGACAAUUAAUGGACAGAUCUACCCCUCACGUGGGAGGCACGUGGGGUAUUUAACGGUAAAAGUUAACAUCGUUUGCCAUAAAGGACUUGCAAUGCAACGAAAAUAAAGUUAAAGGAUUUGUAGUGCAACUUUUAAACGUUAAGGACGUGCACUGUACUUUUGGUUAAACCUAAAGGACGUGCACUGUCAUUUUGUCUAAGAAAAUACAAAAUAUUAAGGUAAAUAACAACGAUAGAUUUGAAACUAGGAAGAGUGGAAACAAACCAACACAUUUAUCAUUCAACCAACCAACUUUUUUGUUUCU